GCCAGUGUGCGUAGUGGUUUGAGCAUUGGACUACAACUCUGGAGACCAGGGUUUGAAUCCCAGCUUGGAA
rnacentral:tRNA from 1 species